GACGAACGCUGGCGGCGUGCUUAACACAUGCAAGUCGAACGAAAAAUCAUUGAAAGCUUGCUGAUAUGAUUUUUAGUGGCGGACGGGUGAGUAACGCGUGAGGACUUGUCUUAUACAGGGGGACAACAGUUGGAAACGGCUGCUAAUACCCCAUAAGCCUUCGGGUAAAAGGAGCAAUCCGGUAUUCGAGAGACUCGCGUCCUAUCAGCUAGUAGGUGAGGUAACGGCUCACCUAGGCGAAGACGGGUAGCCGGCCUGAGAGGGCGAACGGCCACACUGGAACUGAGACGCGGUCCAGACUCCUACGGGAGGCAGCAGUGGGGAAUAUUGGGCAAUGGGGGCAACCCUGACCCAGCGACGCCGCGUGAGUGAAGAAAUCCCUCGGGAUGUAAAGCUCUGUUGUGUGGGAAGAUAAUGACGGUACCACACGAGGAAGCCCCGGCAAACUACGUGCCAGCCGCCGCGGUAA
rnacentral:rRNA from 1 species